UACGAAGGGGGCUAGCGUUGCUCGGAAUCACUGGGCGGAAAGCGCACGUAGGCGGCUUUUUAAGUCAGGGGUGAAAUCCUGGAGCUCAACUCCAGAACUGCCUUUGAUACUGGGAAGCUUGAGUCCGGAAGAGGUGAGUGGAACUCCGAGUGUAGAGGUGAAAUUCGUAGAUAUUCGGAAGAACACCAGUGGCGAAGGCGGCUCACUGGUCCGGUACUGACGCUGAGGUGCGAAAGCGUGGGGAGCAAACAGG
rnacentral:rRNA from 1 species